CAAAAGCAGAGGCAAGGAAUUUUGUCUGUAAGUCUCAAAUACAGGAAAAGCAAGAAGAUAGAACUGAGAGGCUCCUGCUAACAGGCAGACACUGAGAGGUCAACGCAGGCAAAGGAAGGGGUCCUGGCUUCACCUCUGAGGCUAAAACCCUCUGGCGGGCGUGGUCACAACCAGUACAGGAAAUGGAAAGUACCUGGAUGGAGAAUCCACCAGGCAGCUGUGGGGACGAGAGCGGAGCAACCCUACUGCUGCCGGCUAGUCUGUCUAAACCAGAGCUGGAGAAAGGGCUUGGCUGACAGUCAGGCCCACAGUGCCAAGGAGAGCCCAGGUGGAUGGAACCAAGACAAAGGUACAGGAGCACAUGAGACCUGGACUCAAGCAGCGUGGGCCUGUAGGACAGCCAGCGACUGGCAGACAGGAACUUAUUGUAGAGCCACAGGACACUGGAGGUUAAUUAUGGCAGGGAAACACGGCUGCCAAGGAGAAAUCAGACCCAGCACUCAGCUUAUGAAGACAGAGCUAUGCACUGCUCCACACCCUUUCCCAUGGACCAACAUAAGAGGCAGUUUUCAACUGUGAAAAACAGCUUUAUGAAUAUUCAGUCCUCCAAGAUUCUACUUUGAACAGUGCCUCAGUGGAGCCUCAGAAGAUACAAAGUUGGACUAAUUAGAUGCAGAAAGAAGAUAUGAUACUACACAGAUAUCAUUCUUUUUAAAAAGCUUAAGGUGGAGUCUCCAGAAGAGCAUGGAAAUGUCAUAGAUGUAAAUGCAGAAAUUACAGUAACUUCCUUCUCCUUCUCCAAUGUCGGCAUCAUUGCCACAGUAGAAUGGGCUUUGAAAUGAUGUGACUCUAUUUCUGAACCCUAUUUGUAUUAUUUUACUCUGUGUAUGACUUUGGGAAAGUUAAACUUCAACAGUAAAAUGGAGAUGCUGUUUAGAAUUGCUACAAAAACUGAGGUAAUAGAGGUAAUGUACACAGAGCGCCUGGCACAAGAAAAGUAUUGAAAUGUUUGAUGAAUGCAAAAAAUACCUGUAAGAAUUCUUCUAGUUUCUCUUUUAAAAUUACUCCUCUCAUGCUGGGUAGAGCGCUCACCUAGCAUGCAUGAGGG